GAUCUACAUCUAGAAAUAGAAAAUAAUCUGGAAACAAAAACAAAAGAAACCAUUCGCAUUCGUUCAACCUGCUGCAAACGAACAUAUUCAUUAUAUAUUUAGACACAGUGAUACAGAAAAUAGUCUAAAAAAUGUAUUGGCCUGCCUUAUGAACAAACAGUCAAGUCACAGCCCAAGUCAAUAUGUCAACAAUCAUCGGUAGGUCAACUUAAUCAGUCAACUUUACUGGGCCUGUCUACUCGACACGUACUCUACGCCAGACAAAUCAGCUUGACCUGACUAGUCUUACUGACCAGGUCAUAAUACACCACAAGGCGUAUCUACUUGUAUAGAUCAAACAACUAUGGACACAAGACUGUAUAUAGUGUAAAAAUAUAGGAUGUCACAAAACAAUCGAGCGAGUCUCCUACACCCGUGGUUGGAGAAGAGGCGCCAAGCCAAAUGUGCCUACAGAGAUGGAAGAUACGCAGAGGCCUGUGAACUUUAUAGUGCAGCUAUCGAAGCUUUUGAAGCUAACGAAUUUUUCCCUCUAGAAAGUACAGGUAGAGCCAAUGUUAGCCUCAGCCUCCUGUACGGUAAUCGCGCUCAAUGCUGGAAAAAGCUAGGGGAGGUAACCCAGUCUUUGAGAGACGCCAAGAGAUGCGCCAACCUACGCCCAGCCUGG